rnacentral:rRNA from 1 species
UACGGAGGGGGCUAGCGUUGUUCGGAAUUACUGGGCGUAAAGCGCACGUAGGCGGCUUUGUAAGUCAGAGGUGAAAGCCCGGGGCUCAACCCCGGAAUUGCCUUUAAGACUGCAUCGCUUGAAUCCAGGAGAGGUGAGUGGAAUUCCGAGUGUAGAGGUGAAAUUCGUAGAUAUUCGGAAGAACACCAGUGGCGAAGGCGGCUCACUGGACUGGUAUUGACGCUGAGGUGCGAAAGCGUGGGGAGCAAACAGG